rnacentral:misc_RNA from 1 species
ACACCUCAACUCUCUACGGUUUGCCGUGGAGAGCUUGGACUUUGGAGGUUUGCUGGCCCUCGGUCGGCUCCUCUCAAACGAAUCAGCUUUCCAGUGUUUGGUGGCGUCACGGGUGUGAUAACUAUCUACGCUCGCGAUCCGUCCGCCUCGCAACCUUCAGCGAUGGAGGUUCGCUGGAGCUCAAAAACGUCUCUCCUCAGCGAAGACAGCUUUUCUGAC